UGAAAAUACAGAUCUUUGUUCCACCAAUGGGUAGGAAGACAAGACCAGAGGAUGGGAUUUUUCUUUACUUUUUUUAAGUCAACAAAUUGAACCUCUGAUUGGCUCAAUGAACCAUUUAAAAGUUAAGUCUCUAAUUCCAAGCCCCUUUGUUCUGCUGUGGCAGAAAGAAGUGAUAAGGAAAGAAUUAUACCAGACCUCUUUGUGGAACUAAGCCAGACCUUGAUUUUCCCACAUGAUUGGAUCCUAUCUCAUUAAGAAUCUAAAUACACUAUAAUGUAGCAAAGGCUGCAAUUCUAAGAGAGUAAUCAGAGGUAGAAUUUUUCAGAUUGAAAGAAUAUCCAGGUGUUUAGAAAAUCUCAUAAGUCAUAUACACAUAUAGUCAGACAUUCCCUUAGCACGGUUUGCUGACAUUUAACAAAGGAACUUCAGGUUGUUAUUUAUCUUUCAACUACUUUUAAAACGUGUUGAGUACCUACUCUGUGCCAGAUACUGUUCUACCUUCAUGAAGCUCAGCCUUGUUGAAUAGAUACAUAAGCAGUCAUUCUCCCUGGACUAUGGUAGGUGCCCUUACUCUGUGGCCUUUCACACUGUGUUUACCUGAUCCGCAUACCUGUUGCAUUGAAGUUGCCUGUUACUUGUGUCUUCCCUUAGAUGCUGUGCUCUUCUAGGACACAGCCUAUGACCUGUUCACCAUUAUAUCCCCAGCUCUGGCUCAAUGUUGAAUUCACACUGAGUGCUCAGUGAUCCUGUUGAAUGAGUGAAUGCAAUAUGCUACAUGCAAUUAUAGAAGCAUGGCACAGCAUCAAGAAAGUAAAGAGGCAGCAACAAAUUAAUUUAAUUCCUGUGCUUCAUGUUGCAAAUUAUUCUUUAAAAGCAAAAAAAUAAUAAUUUCAUUCUAAAGGUCUCACCUUAAAAAACUCUAGAAUAUUAAAUCUUCAAACUUGUCAGAAUUUGGAUAAUUUUCAAAAAGAGCAAAUUAAGUUUUAAUGAAGUGAUAUAAAUUAAUAUUUUAAAGUUCUAAGAAAACUCAUGUAAGGAGAUUAUAUUUUCUAAAUAUUUACUCAAUAUUGGUUACAAAGUCCUUUCACACAGAUAACAAUUAAGCAACAAUAAAAUUGGGAAAUAAAGUAAAAAAUCACCUAUAAUUCCACUAUCUUAAAACAUGAAUUGUUUUAUCUGUUCUUAGUUCACAUCUAUUUACAUUCAUGAAUUUUACUUAGCUUUAAAUGUAGCAUGAAUAUAGUUUUGCAUUUUUAUUUUUGUUUACAAGAAUUCAUAUGUCUUUUAGAGACUAUAAACCUUAUAAGGUGAGGAUUUCUAACCACAGAAUCCUAGAUUAGGAAUCAAAAGUUAUAAUUUCGUUUUAUGUUUAUCAUUACAACAAGAUCUGGGCUAAAAGUAAUUCAUUUUAUGGAAUGACUUGUAUUGGAAGAAUCUGAUAUAGGAUAUUAAAUUUAUUCAUUUCUUUUUUUCUGAAUGAAAAAUCAGCACACAAAAAAAGUAGCUUCUGGGAAAUCCCAUUAUGUCUGGUCAUGUAUGAGAAGUAUCUCUUCUUAUCCACAGGUACCUUCUGAAUACCUCCACAUGGUCCCAGUGCAUUGAACCCAAACACGUCGUGGAAUGGAAUGUAACUCUGUUUUCUAUCCUCUUGGCUCUUGGCGGAAUUGAAUUUAUCUUGUGUCUCAUUCAAGUAAUAAAUGGAAUGCUUGGAGGUAUAUGUGGCUUUUGCGGCUUUCGCAAACAGCGAUAUGACUGCUAAAAGAACCACCCCAAGACAGAACCACAAUUUUGCUCUAUUUCAUUGUAAUUUAUAUAUUUUACUUGUAUUAAUUUGUAAAACUUUGUACUAGUGUAUCAUACUCCGCAUAUUCUACUUUUAUAAAGGUGUAUAAAGACUGGCACCUUCACGUGAUGUUAGAGUUUGAACUUAGCAAACAAACUUUUUUUUAAGGAAUGAGCAAGCAAACCACACUCUGGAAGUAAUUUACAGACUGGGUGACAGUCCUUAGCAUAUUGGAGAUAAACCCUAUAAUGUUGUGAUGAAAAUCACAUCCCAGUUACUAUUGUAUAUAUGUGUGUGUAUUUUUUAAAUGAAAGAUGUCUAAUUGCUUUUUUUUGAGACCAAGAAGGAGAAAAUCCAACAACAUGCAGAGCUGUGUUUUUUUCACUGUUUAUAUGGUGUUUCCCAUUCAUAUGGCUACAAAUCUCUAACAAGAGGCCUUUUGAAGUGCUUUGAGUUCUGUGAGAGACGAAUACUUGCCCAGGAUGGGAAGAUUAAUUGGGAAUGCUCCAACCCAAAUGAGUGAGCCAGAGCAGGCAGUGCUGCUAGAUCCUAGACUUUUCUAACACGUGGACAAGCACUAAGGAUCAUGUGUUUAAAAAGAAAAAGGCUGGGAGAACUGGACAAGAAGAUGGGAAACGGAAUAAAGCAGUUGAUCAGCAUCACAGGAAAAUGGGGAAGGGGAAGUGAGGGCAGGAGGGGACCAUGAGGAAAUAGCCCCAGAACUUGCUUGUUUAUGACAAAAUAAAAUAUUUACUACCAUU